rnacentral:rRNA from 1 species
UUGACCUCGAAUCAGGUGGGACUACCCGCUGAACUUAAGCAUAUCAAUAAGCGGAGGAAAAGAAACUAACAAGGAUUCCCCUAGUAACGGCGAGUGAAGCGGGAAGAGCUCAAAUUUAAAAUCUGGCGGUCUUUGAUUGUCCGAAUUGUAAUCUAGAGAAGCGUUUUCCGUGCUGGACUGUGUACAAGUUUCCUGGAUACGGAACAUCAUAGARGGUG